UAGAGGUCAGACUGGGCAAACAUGGGUCA
rnacentral:piRNA from 1 species